AACGCACAUUGCGCCCUCUGGUAUUCCGGGGGGCAUGCCUGUUCGAGCGUCAUUAUAACCCUCAAGCUCUGCUUGGUAUUGGGCAUCACCGACUCUGGUGUGCCUCAAAAUCAGUGGCGGCGUCAUCUGGCUUCAAGCGUAGUAAUAAUCCCUCGCUAUGGAGCCUGGUGUAUGUUAGCUAGAACCCCCAAAUCAUCAAAGGUUGACCUCGGAUCAGGUAGGGAUACCCGCUGAACUUAA
rnacentral:misc_RNA from 1 species